rfam:Triticum aestivum genome assembly, contig: Triticum_aestivum_CS42_TGACv1_scaffold_033984_1BL
AUUGUACUCCCUCUGUCCGAAAUUACUUGUCGUUGAAAUAGAUAAAAAUAAACGUAUCUAAAAUUAAAAUAUAUUUAGAUACAUUCAUUUUUCUGAUAAGAAUUUCCGGACGGAGGAAGUAUAUU